GAUGAAGAACGCAGCGAAAUGCGAUAAGUAAUGCGAAUUGCAGAAUUCAGUGAGUCAUCGAAUCUCUGAACGCACAUUGCGCCCUGUGGUAUUCCGCAGGGCAUGCCUGUUCGAGCGUCAUUUCAACCCUCAAGCUCUGCUUGGUGUUGGGCCCUGCCCGCUGCGGCCGGCCCUAAAGACAGUGGCGGUGCCGCCUGGCCCUGAGCGUAGUACAUCUCUCGCUCCAGUGCCCGGUGGUAGCCUGCCAGAACCCCAACUCUCGUGGUUGCCCUCGGAUCAGGUAGGGAUACCCGCUGAACUUAAGCAUAUCAAUAAGCGGAGGA
rnacentral:misc_RNA from 1 species